AUGGAGCUUGACAGAUUCGACUUUUCAGCUCUCCCCCCUUUUUUUUUUUCACCACCUCUGCUCUCUACCUCAGAAAUACUCUUCAGGAAGCAGGAGUUAAUCUUGGCUUUCCUUAGGUAUUCCCUUCACAUCUCUUCAGGGCAGACCAGAAGAGUAAUCGAGGGAAGAGCUCACCACCCAGACAAAUGUCAUCGAACACCAUGGCACAUUAGGUAUUGCAGAGAAGAGGAAGGAAACACUGACUUUUAAAAUGUGCUUUUCCCCCCUCGAUCCUUAUGUGGCCCCCCAUCCGAAUGGUGCAUCGCUGCUGAAACCAAAAUGCAUUGCAUCAUGUUCAAUGCAAUUGAGUUUUGCAGGUUUCUGAGACCUGGAGAACAAAGAGAAACUGACAGUCACUCUAAUUAUCUUUUGGCAACAUCCUGUACUCACAAACGAAAUGUAGAAAUAAUUCUAUCUAGUUUUACUAUCUGCCCUAAACUUGGUCUGUCAAUGCGCCGUUGAAAGAAAGGGUAUUUGAAUUUGAUCCUUUGUGUGGCAUGGAUUAGUGACUGUGAAACUAAUAAAUCGAAACUACCUCCAAACUAAGUCAAAUU
rnacentral:lncRNA from 1 species